AUUGAACGCUGGCGGCAGGCCUAACACAUGCAAGUCGAGCGGAUGAAGGGAGCUUGCUCCUGGAUUCAGCGGCGGACGGGUGAGUAAUGCCUAGGAAUCUGCCUGGUAGUGGGGGAUAACGUCCGGAAACGGGCGCUAAUACCGCAUACGUCCUGAGGGAGAAAGUGGGGGAUCUUCGGACCUCACGCUAUCAGAUGGGCCUAGGUCGGAUUAGCUAGUUGGUGGGGUAAAGGCCUACCAAGGCGACGAUCCGUAACUGGUCUGAGAGGGUGAUCAGUCACACUGGAACCUAGAAACCGUCCCGGCCCCCUAGGGGGGGCACCGUGGGGGAUUUUUGGAAAAGGGGCGAAGCCUUAAUCCGGCCAGCCCGGGGGGGUAAAAAAGGUUUUCGGUUUUUAAAGCACUUUAAGUUGGGAGGAAGGGCAGUAAGUUAAUACCUUGCUUUUUUGCCGUUACCAACAAAAUAAGCACCGCCUAACUUCGU
rnacentral:rRNA from 1 species